rnacentral:rRNA from 1 species
UGAGUAACACGUGGGUAACCUGCCCAUAAGAGGGGGAUAACAUUCGGAAACGGAUGCUAAUACCGCAUAUCUCUUCGAGACGCCUGUCUCUUAGAUGAAAGGUGGCUUCGGCUGCCGCUUAUGGAUGGACCCGCGGCGUAUUAGCUAGUUGGUGAGGUAAUGGCUCACCAAGGCUGUGAUACGUAGCCGACCUGAGAGGGUGAUCGGCCACACUGGGACUGAGACACGGCCCAGACUCCUACGGGAGGCAGCAGUAGGGAAUCUUCCACAAUGGGUGAAAACCUGAUGGAGCAAUACCGCGUGAGUGAAGAAGGUCUUCGGAUCGUAAAGCUCUGUUGUUAGAGAAGAAUAAGUCGGGUAGUAACUGCCCCGGCCUUGACGGUAUCUAACCAGAAAGUCACGGCUAACUACGUGCCAGCAGCCGCGGUAAUACGUAGGUGACAAGCGUUGUCCGGAUUUAUUGGGCGUAAAGCGAGCGCAGGCGGUCUUUUAAGUCUGAUGUGAAAGCCCACGGCUCAACCGUGGAGGGUCAUUGGAAACUGGAAGACUUGAAUGCAGAAGAGGAAAGUGGAAUUCCAUGUGUAGCGGUGAAAUGCGUAGAUAUAUGGAGGAACACCAGUGGCGAAGGCGACUUUCUGGUCUGUAAUUGACGCUGAGGCUCGAAAGCGUGGGGAGCGAACAGGAUUAGAUACCCUGGUAGUCC